UACAGAGGUCUCAAGCGUUGUUCGGAUUCAUUGGGCGUAAAGGGAGCGUAGGCGGCGUGGUAAGUCAGAUGUGAAAUCCCGGGGCUCAACCCCGGAACUGCAUCCGAUACUGCCGUGCUAGAGGAUUGGAGAGGUAGCUGGAAUUCUUGGUGUAGCAGUGAAAUGCGUGGAGAUCAAGAGGAACACUCGUGGCGAAAGCGAGCUACUGGACAAUAUCUGACGCUGAGGCUCGAAGGCCAGGGUAGCGAAAGGG
rnacentral:rRNA from 1 species